UCUACGGGUGGCAGCAGUGGGGAAUAUUGGACAAUGGGCGAAAGCCUGAUCCAGCCAUGCCGCGUGUGUGAAGAAGGCCUUCGGGUUGUAAAGCACUUUCAGUGGGGAAGAAAGCCUUGGGGCUAAUACCCUCGAGGAAGGACAUCACCCACAGAAGAAGCACCGGCUAACUCCGUGCCAGCAGCCGCGGUAAUACGGAGGGUGCGAGCGUUAAUCGGAAUUACUGGGCGUAAAGCGCGCGUAGGCGGUCUGAUAAGCCGGUUGUGAAAGCCCCGGGCUCAACCUGGGAACGGCAUCCGGAACUGUCAGGCUAGAGUGCAGGAGAGGAAGGUAGAAUUCCCGGUGUAGCGGUGAAAUGCGUAGAGAUCGGGAGGAAUACCAGUGGCGAAGGCGGCCUUCUGGAAUGACACUGACGCUGAGGUGCGAAAGCGUGGGUAGCAAACAGGAUUAGAUACCCUAGUAGUC
rnacentral:rRNA from 1 species